AACGCACAUUGCGCCCCUUGGUAUUCCGAGGGGCAUGCCUGUUCGAGCGUCAUUACAACCCUCAAGCACUGCUUGGUCUUGGGCUCCGCUGCUAACCCAGCGGGCCUUAAAAUGAGUGGCGGCGCCAUCAGGCUCUGAGCGUAGUAAAUUUCCUCGCUACGGAGUCCUGGUGACGGUGGUCAUCAACCCCCAACUUUCUAAGUUUGACCUCGGAUCAGGUAGGGAUACCCGCUGAACUUAA
rnacentral:misc_RNA from 1 species